rnacentral:rRNA from 1 species
CCUACGGGGGACAGCAGUGAGGAAUAUUGGUCAAUGGACGAGAGUCUGAACCAGCCAAGUAGCGUGAAGGAUGACUGCCCUAUGGGUUGUAAACUUCUUUUAUAUGGGAAUAAAACAGGGUAUGCAUACCCUCUUGUAUGUACCAUAUGAAUAAGGAACGGCUAACUCCGUGCCAGCAGCCGCGGUAAGACGGAGGAUCCGAGCGUUAUCCGGAGUUAUUGGGUUUAAAGGGAGCGUAGGUGGAUUGUUAAGUCAGUUGUGAAAGUUUGCGGCUCAACCGGAAAAUUGCAGUUGAAACUGGCAGUCUUGAGUACAGUAGAGGUGGGCGGAACUCGUGGUGUAGCGGUGAAAUGCUUAGAUAUCACGAAGAACUCCGAUUGCGAAGGCAGCUCACUGGACUGCAACUGACACUGAUGCUCGAAAGUGAGGGUAGCAAACAGGAUUAGAUACCCGAGUAGUC